UACACUCCUACGGGAGGCAGCAGUGGGGAAUUUUGGACAAUGGGGGCAACCCUGAUCCAGCAAUGCCGCGUGAGUGAAGAAGGCCUUCGGGUUGUAAAGCUCUUUUGUCAGGGAAGAAACGGUAGUAGCGAAUAACUAUUACUAAUGACGGUACCUGAAGAAUAAGCACCGGCUAACUACGUGCCAGCAGCCGCGGUAAUACGUAGGGUGCAAGCGUUAAUCGGAAUUACUGGGCGUAAAGCGUGCGCAGGCGGUUGUGUAAGUCAGAUGUGAAAUCCCCGGGCUCAACCUGGGAAUUGCAUUUGAGACUGCACGGCUAGAGUGUGUCAGAGGGGGGUAGAAUUCCACGUGUAGCAGUGAAAUGCGUAGAUAUGUGGAGGAAUACCGAUGGCGAAGGCAGCCCCCUGGGAUAACACUGACGCUCAUGCACGAAAGCGUGGGGAGCAAACAGGAUUAGAUACCCCGGUAGUCCCA
rnacentral:rRNA from 1 species